GAGUUUGAUCCUGGCUCAGGACGAACGCUGGCGGCGUGCCUAAUACAUGCAAGUCGAGCGAGCUGAAUUCAAAGAUUCCUUCGGGAUGAUUUGUUGGACGCUAGCGGCGGAUGGGUGAGUAACACGUGGGCAAUCUGCCCUAAAGACUGGGAUACCACUUGGAAACAGGUGCUAAUACCGGAUAACAACAUGAAUCGCAUGAUUCAAGUUUGAAAGGCGGCGCAAGCUGUCACUUUAGGAUGAGCCCGCGGCGCAUUAGCUAGUUGGUGGGGUAAAGGCCUACCAAGGCAAUGAUGCGUAGCCGAGUUGAGAGACUGAUCGGCCACAUUGGGACUGAGACACGGCCCAAACUCCUACGGGAGGCAGCAGUAGGGAAUCUUCCACAAUGGACGCAAGUCUGAUGGAGCAACGCCGCGUGAGUGAAGAAGGUUUUCGGAUCGUAAAGCUCUGUUGUUGGUGAAGAAGGAUAGAGGCAGUAACUGGUCUUUAUUUGACGGUAAUCAACCAGAAAGUCACGGCUAACUACGUGCCAGCAGCCGCGGUAAUACGUAGGUGGCAAGCGUUGUCCGGAUUUAUUGGGCGUAAAGCGAGCGCAGGCGGAAUGAUAAGUCUGAUGUGAAAGCCCACGGCUCAACCGUGGAACUGCAUCGGAAACUGUCAUUCUUGAGUGCAGAAGAGGAGAGUGGAACUCCAUGUGUAGCGGUGAAAUGCGUAGA
rnacentral:rRNA from 1 species